UACGGAGGGUGCAAGCGUUGCUCGGAAUCACUGGGCGUAAAGCGCACGUAGGCGGAUUGCUAAGUCAGGGGUGAAAUCCUGGAGCUCAACUCCAGAACUGCCUUUGAUACUGGCGAUCUCGAGUCCGGGAGAGGUGAGUGGAACUGCGAGUGUAGAGGUGAAAUUCGUAGAUAUUCGCAAGAACACCAGUGGCGAAGGCGGCUCACUGGCCCGGUACUGACGCUGAGGUGCGAAAGCGUGGGGAGCAAACAGG
rnacentral:rRNA from 1 species